rnacentral:ncRNA from 1 species
CAACCUCAACUCAUAUGGGACUACCCCCUGAAUUUAAGCAUAUUAAUUAGGGGAGGAAAAGAAACUAACAAGGAUUUUCUUAGUAGCGGCGAGCGAAAAGAAAUCAGUUCAGCACUAAGUCACUUUGUCUAUAUGGCAAAUGUGAGAUGCAGUGUACGGAACAUCAACAUUCUAGUAUGAGAAGUUAACGAUUUAAGUCCUUCUUAAAUGAGGCCAUUUACCCAUAGAGGGUGCCCGGCCCGUAUAACGUUAAUGAUUACUAGAUGGUGUUUCCAAAGAGUCGUGUUGCUUGAUAGUGCAGCACUAAGUGGGUGGUAAACUCCAUCUAAAACUAAAUAUAACCAUGAGACCGAUAGUAAACAAGUACCGUGAGGGAAAGUUGAAAAGAACUCUGAAUAGAGAGUUAAAUAGUACGUGAAACUGCUUAGAGGUUAAGCCCGAUGAACCUGAAUAUCCGUUAUGGAAAAUUCAUCAUUAGAAUUGUAAUAUUUUAAACAAUAUUAUAAUAAUAGUGUGCAUUUUUUCCAUAUAAGGACAUUGUAAUCUAUUAGCAUAAAUAUUUAUCAUAAAAUUAUGUCUGAUUGCUUAUUUGAAUUAUAUGCUUGGCAUUUUAACAUAAAAUAAAAGAUAUAAAUUUGAUAAAGUGCUGAUAGAUUUAUAUGAUUACAGUGCGUUAAUUUUUCGGAAUUAUAUAAUGGCAUAAUUAUCAUUGAUAUUUGUGUUUAUUAUAUGCAUUUGUAUGAUUAACAAUGCGAAAGAUUCAGGAUACCUUCGGGA